rnacentral:tRNA from 1 species
UGGCUCAGUUGGUAAAGCAUCUGCUUGCAAUGCAGGAGACCCAGGUUUGAUCCCUGG